rfam:Triticum aestivum genome assembly, contig: Triticum_aestivum_CS42_TGACv1_scaffold_457093_5DS
UUAGUACUAACUCCGUCCGGAAAUACUUGUCAUUAAAAUGGAUACAAAUGGAUGUAUCUAGAAUAAAAAUACAUCUAGAUACAUUCAUUCCUCGGACAAGUAUUUUCGGACGGAUAGAGUAUGUU